GUACACGCUGUGACUAGCAUAUCAAUAAGCGGAGGAAAAGAAACUAACAAGGAUUCCCCUAGUAACGGCGAGUGAAGCGGGAAGAGCUCAAAUUUGAAAUCUUAAAGGGUUUCCCUUUACGAAUUGUAGUUUAAAGAAGUGUUUUCUGUUGAGGUUUUGGUAAAAGUUCUUUGGAAUAGGACAUCAUAGAGGGUGAGAAUCCCGUAUUUGACCUUUACUUUCAACUUUGUGAUACACUUUCAAAGAGUCGGAUUGUUUGGGAAUGCAGUCCAAAAUGGGUGGUAAAUUUCAUCUAAAGCUAAAUAUUGGCGAGAGACCGAUAGCGAACAAGUACCGUGAGGGAAAGAUGAAAAGAACUUUGAAAAGAGAGUUAAACAGUACGUGAAAUUGUCAAAAGGGAAGCGUUUGACACCAGUGUUGUUUUUCUGAAAAUCAAUUAAAGAACUGUUUAUGCUAAGUUGUUUAGACUUUAUCAGCUAACUGUUUAGUUUUGAGCUUUUCUUUAAUGCACUUUUCAGUUAACAAGUCAACAUCAAUUUCUUUUGCUGUAAAAAAGCUUGAGGAAGGUGGCUUGAGAUUCGUCUUAAGUGUUUAUAGCCUCUUGCCUAUGCAGUCGGAGAGAUUGAGGUCUGCAGCGUAGAUCCUUCGGGGCUAAAUGCAUUUGUGCUAAGUUAUAGCAUUUUAUAGACAACUUGUUGACUAUGAUUUGUCUUGUAGCUUACUCGCUUAUGUUAUUUUACCUACGCUUAGGAUGUUGAUAGUCACAGCGUGUACGCUGACGUCGCGACGCAUAUCAAUAAGCGGAGGAAAAGGCUGCGGAACUGAACGACCGCUACCUACGCUUAGGAUGUUGAGUCGUAGAGCACGCAG
rnacentral:rRNA from 1 species